UACGUAGGGGCUAGCGUUAUCCGGAAUUACUGGGCGUAAAGGGUGCGUAGGUGGUUUCUUAAGUCAGAGGUGAAAGGCUACGGCUCAACCGUAGUAAGCCUUUGAAACUGGGAAACUUGAGUGCAGGAGAGGAGAGUGGAAUUCCUAGUGUAGCGGUGAAAUGCGUAGAGAUUAGGAGGAACACCAGUGGCGAAGGCGGCUGUCUGGACUGUAACUGACACUGAGGCACGAAAGCGUGGGGAGCAAACAGGAUUAGAUACCCUGGUAGUCCCUGAGCGGG
rnacentral:rRNA from 1 species